GAUGAACGCUGGCGGCGUGCUUAAUACAUGCAAGUCGAGCGAACAGACGAGGCGCUUGCUCCUCUGACGUUAGCGGCGGACGGGUGAGUAGUAAGUGGAUAACCUACCUAUAAGACUUGGGUAAUUUCGGGAAACCGGAGCUAAUACCGGAUAAUAUAUUGAACCGCAUGGUUCAUUAGUGAAAGACGGUUUUGCUGUCACUUAUAGAUGGAUCCGCGCCGCAUUAGCUAGUUGGUAAGGUAACGGCUUACCAAGGCAGCGAUGCGUAGCCGACCGGAGAGAGGGAUCGCCCACACUGGAGCUGAGACGCGCACCAGGCGCCUACGGCAGGCCGCAGUAGGGUAUGUUCCGCAGUGGGCGAAAGCCUGGCGGAACAGCGGCACGUCAGUGGCAAAGAUGUUGAGAUCGUAAAACUCUGUUAUUAGGGAAAAACAACUGUGUGAAUGGAAGUAGACAUAUUGACGGUACCUGAAGAGAAAGCCCCGGCUAACUACGUG
rnacentral:rRNA from 1 species